rnacentral:lncRNA from 1 species
AUUUACAACACCUGAGCUAGACACAAAGGUUCUCCACGUCCCCACCAGACUCAGGAGCCCAGCUGGCUUCACCCAGUGGAUCCCGUGCCUGGGCUUCAGGUGGAGCUGCCUGCCAGUCCCGCGCCGUGCGCCCGCACUCCUCAGCCCUUGGGUGGUCGAUGGGACUCGGCGCCGUGGAGCAGGGGGCGGCGCUCAUCCGGCGCCCAUGGAAUGGGUGGGAGGCUCAGGCAUGGCGGGCUGCAGGUCCCGAGCCCUGACCCGCGGGAAGGCAGCUAAGGCCCGGUGAGAAAUCGAGCGCAGCGCCGGUGGGCUGGCACUGCUGGGGGACCGAGUACACCCUCCACAGCCGCUGGCCGAGGUGCUGAGCCCCUCAUUGCCCGGCUGCUCCGAGUGCGGGGCCCGCCAAGCCCACGCCCACCCGGAACUCCAGCUGACCCGGAACUCCAGCUGGCCCGCAAGCGCCGCGCGCAGCCCGGGUUCCCGCUCGCGCCUCUCCUUCCACACCUGCCUGCAAGCUGAGGGAGCCGGUUCCGGCCUUGGCCAGCCCAGAAAGGGGCUCCCACAGUGCAGCGGUGGGCUGAAGGUUCCUCAAGUGCCUCUAAAGUGGGAGCCCAGGCAGAGGAGAGCGAGCGAGGGCUGUGAGGCCUGCCAGCACGCUGUGACCUCUCAGAAGUACACACUUGGCUGGAAAGAGAAGACUCUAUAGAGGAGGAACUUACAGCCAGGACCCUGGUUGAAUCAGUACUUAAAAAUGCUCUUAUGAGAAAGGGCAGAGCUGCAUUUUACUUAACCUAAACUCAUUUUUCACAAAGCCCCAAGACCUGGAUGACCAGGAAGCCAGCAACUCGACCAGAAUGGCAGGCUGUGGAAAGAAGUCAUUUGGUGAGCUUCAGACUGAAGUAAAAGAGCCAGAAGAUUAUAGGACUCCCCUUCCUCCAGGACCUGAAGAUGGAAUCCCCAGAGUCUUAAGAGGAGCCACCAGAAAAAGAUCAAAAGACAUCUACUAGAAGCUUUCUUCGAUACCACCUGAGUUCACUGUAGAAGGCAACUUUGAACUAAGCAAAACAUUAUGUUCUGGACAAAUGGUUUGUAUGGCAUAAUCCAAAAUGCCUGAAGAAGAUGCAGUAAAAUAAAUAUUGAUUUCUGAAAACU